AUACGUAGGGUGCGAGCGUUAAUCGGAAUUACUGGGCGUAAAGCGUGCGCAGGCGGUUUUGUAAGACAGCUGUGAAAUCCCCGGGCGUUAACCUGGGAACGUGCGGUUGUGACUGCAAGACUAGAGUGCGGCAGAGGGGGGUGGAAUUCCACGUGUAGCAGUGAAAUGCGUAGAGAUGUGGAGGAACACCGAUGGCGAAGGCAGCCCCCUGGGUUGACACUGACGCUCAUGCACGAAAGCGUGGGUAGC
rnacentral:rRNA from 1 species